rnacentral:rRNA from 1 species
CACGUAGGGCGCAAGCGUUGUCCGGAAUUAUUGGGCGUAAAGAGCUCGUAGGCGGUCUGUUGCGUCCGCUGUGAAAACCCGGGGCUUAACCCCUGGCUUGCAGUGGAUACGGACAGACUAGAGGUAGGUAGGGGAGAAUGGAAUUCCCGGUGUAGCGGUGAAAUGCGCAGAUAUCGGGAGGAACACCGGUGGCGAAAGCGGUUCUCUGGGCCUUACCUGACGCUGAGGAGCGAAAGCGUGGGGAGCGAACAGG